CUACAACCCAUUUGUUUCCUCUCUUUGAAUACAUGUUAGGAGUAGAGUAUUUGUAUAUAUUUAACAAGAAUUCAUGGAUUCUGAUAAAUCCUUGAGUCAAUAUUCUCCUAUUAUGCUGAAAGAUCUGAGAUUGAUAGUGGCUGCCUUAUGAUAUUGUUGUUGAGGGCAGCUUGGGUGUCUUGGGAGAGGAUGUAUGAAGUUGUGUUAAUGUGUAGAGGAAGGGUUUGGUGGUUCACCAUUUGUGUAAGGGUUGUAUGGGCCUGCUUUCAAUCAAAUAUUUCAGCUACUAUUUUCGAGGGUCUUAAUGUGAUUAGCUGCUGACGUUAGCUUAAUCAUGACUCAUGUUGUAAAUCAGCACCCAAAAAGGAAAGGCUGAAUCAUGAUAUUUAUACCGGUCAGAGGAUAAGGUGGAAGCUCAGGGGCAAAAAACUAGAAUGGGUCGAUCCCAAUCGGUAUAGAAGGGUGGCAGCUCAGGGGCGAAAGCCUAACAUGGGCCGAUCCCAAAUUGUGUAAUUAUGAGGACCACAUACCAGGGGUUAAUAUUCCUAGCACGGGUCAUCCUCUUCUACCAUUGAUCAUCUUGUCACUUGUAUCACUUUUCCUACAAAGAUUAUAGCGUACAGAACAAUAAAGGAAAGAACGUAACAUACAUGAUCGCACAAGAGUAAAUAAAGAUGAUCUUCUCUCCUUAUAUAUGCACUCAUAUGUUGGUACUUGAUUUCAUUUGAGCCCUCUUAUUA